AUGGUUCUGAAUAUAGACCGCAUGUCAGCUGGUCCCUCUGUCAGACCCACAGUGUCUCUGCUCCCCCCGUCCUCUGAGCAACUCUCUGGUGGCUCGACACUGGCCUGCCUGCUGAGUGGCUACUCCCCCCAGGGGGCGAUGGUGAGCUGGGAGGUGGACGGAGCGGAGGUGAAGGAGGGGGUCCUGACCACCACAGAAGAAGAGAAGGGCGGCCGCUACAGCCGCAGCAGCACCCUGACCCUGAGCAAGGCACGCUGGGAAGAGGGAGAGGUGUACACCUGCAGGGUCGCCCAUGACGACACCAGUGAUGCGGCCGCCUUCCGUAAAAGUCACUGUAGUGUCUAG